CUCGUAGGCGGCUCAGUAAGUCGGGUGUGAAACCUCCAGGCUCAACCUGGAGACGCCACCCGAUACUGCUGUGGCUAGAGUCCAGUAGGGGAGUGUGGAAUUCCCGGUGUAGCGGUGAAAUGCGCAGAUAUCGGGAGGAACACCAGCGGCGAAGGCGGCACUCUGGGCUGGUACUGACGCUGAGGAGCGAAAGCGUGGGUAGCAAACA
rnacentral:rRNA from 1 species